GACGAACGCUGGCGGCGUGCCUAAUACAUGCAAGUUGAGCGCUGAAGGUUGGUACUUGUACCAACUGGAUGAGCAGCGAACGGGUGAGUAACGCGUGGGGAAUCUGCCUUUGAGCGGGGGACAACAUUUGGAAACGAAUGCUAAUACCGCAUAAAAACUUUAAACACAAGUUUUAAGUUUGAAAGAUGCAAUUGCAUCACUCAAAGAUGAUCCCGCGUUGUAUUAGCUAGUUGGUGAGGUAAAGGCUCACCAAGGCGAUGAUACAUAGCCGACCUGAGAGGGGGAUCGGCCACAUUGGGACUGAGACACGGCCCAAACCCCUACGGGAGGCAGCAGUAGGGAAUCUUCGGCAAUGGACGAAAGUCUGACCGAGCAACGCCGGGGGAGGGAAGAAGGGUGUCGGAUCGGAAAAAUCUGUUGGUAGGGAAGAACGUUGGUGGGAGUGGAAAGCUCAUCAAGUGACGGUAACUACCCAGAAAGGGACGGCUAACUACGUG
rnacentral:rRNA from 1 species